GCCAGAGCCACCGCGGGCCUCACCAGGGCCCGAUCCUGUCAGUGCAGGGGCAAGCCGCAAGGAGCAGCAAGGUGUGUGGUCAGUGCAACCUCGGUUCCAUAACCAGCAACACACACACAGAGACACACGUACAUAUACAGACGUCCUGGGAAUCGAACUUAGCUGUCAAGCUUGGCCGUUUGAAUCGCAAGAUCAUCCUUGACUGCAUAUCCAGCUCAUGGCCAGCCUGGUGGUGUACUUAACUACCUUUGGAGUCAAGCAGCUGCCAUCUGGGGGAGUUCAGCUGUGUCCACUUACAAAAGAAUUACCUUAGCUGGACUUUUUGACCGUUUACAUCCCCUCACGGAAGACCCUCACCUGAGUAUCCACUGGCUCCCUAUAAUUUAUUGUGUGCAACUCUGCCUUAAUUGCACAUGGCUUGCCUGGAGGGCAGGGGUGGGGGGAGGAGACUAGAGUACUCAGAUUAAGAAAGACUAGGAGAGAGGUCUUUAUCUAAGCAGCUAUGGGAAAACCCUUACCCUGUUGGCCAAAUCUUUUUUUUUUUUUUUUUUCUCUAGGCUGGCCUCGAACUC
ensembl:lincRNA Gm15728 predicted gene 15728